UACAGAGGGGGCGAGCGUUGUUCGGAAUUACUGGGCGUAAAGGCGCGUAGGCGGCCUGCUAAGUCAUACGUGAAAUCCCUCGGCUCAACCGAGGAACUGCGUCUGAUACUGGUUGGCUUGAAUUCGGGAGAGGGAUGCGGAAUUCCCGGUGUAGUGGUGAAAUGCGUAGAUAUCGGGAGGAACACCAGUGGCGAAGGCGACUAUCUGGACGGUUUCUGACACUAAGACUCGAAAGCGUGGGGAGCAAACAGG
rnacentral:rRNA from 1 species